CCCCUGCCACCUUGAAAUUGUCUUCUGUCAUCACCAGGCCUUGUCCAUAUAUCUUGUGUGCCACGUGAUUGAGGCCUAUCCGUGUACUCUAUACUUCUAGACUCAUCAAAAGACCCAGAUCGAGAAGGUGGUCUCUCAGAGAAACUAGCAGCCCUGCCUGUCCCAGAACCCGGCCUUUCAAUGGCUUUCUGCCCAAAUCGAACUUUGUC
rnacentral:misc_RNA from 1 species